AGGGUUCGAUUCUGGCUCAGGAUGAACGCUAGCUACAGGCUUAACACAUGCAAGUCGAGGGGUAACAGGAGGAAAGCUGCUUUCUUGCUGACGACCGGCGCACGGGUGAGUAACGCGUAUCUAACCUUCCCCUUAGUAGAGGAUAGCCCGGCGAAAGUCGGAUUAAUACUCUAUGUUCUUCCUGGAUGGCAUCUGAUGGGAAGCAAAGGUUUACCGCGUAAGGGAUGGGGAUGCGUCUGAUUAGCUUGUCGGCGGGGUAACGGCCCACCGAGGCAACGAUCAGUAGGGGUUCUGAGAGGAACGGUCCCCCACAUUGGUACUGAGACACGGACCAAACUCCUACGGGAGGCAGCAGUGAGGAAUAUUGGUCAGUGGACGGAAGUCUGAACCAGCCAAGUAAGCGUGCAGGAUGACCGGCCCUAGUGGGUUAGUAAACUGUCUUUUAUAGUAGGGAAUAAAGUCGGGGACGUGUCCCCGUUUGUAGGUACUAUAUGAAUAAGGACCGGCUAAUUCCGUGCCAGCCGCCGC
rnacentral:rRNA from 1 species